rnacentral:rRNA from 1 species
AUUGAACGCUGGCGGCAGGCUUAACACAUGCAAGUCGAGCGGAGAUGAGGUGCUUGCACCUUAUCUUAGCGGCGGACGGGUGAGUAAUGCUUAGGAAUCUGCCUAUUAGUGGGGGACAACAUUCCGAAAGGAAUGCUAAUACCGCAUACGUCCUACGGGAGAAGGCAGGGGAUCUUCGGACCUUGCGCUAAUAGAUGAGCCUAAGUCGGAUUAGCUAGUUGGGGGGGUAAAGGCCUACCAAGGCGACGAUCUGUAGCGGGUCUGAGAGGAUGAUCCGCAACACUGGGACUGGGACACGGCCCAGACUCCUACGGGAGGAAGCAGUGGGGAAUAUUGGACAAUGGGGGGAACCCUGAUCCAGCCAUGCCGCGUGUGUGAAGAAGGCCUUAUGGUUGUAAAGCACUUUAAGCGAGGAGGAGGCUACUGAGACUAAUACUCUUGGAUAGUGGACGUUACUCGCAGAAUAAGCACCGGCUAACUCUGUGCCAGCAGCCGCCGUAACAC